ensembl:rRNA 5S_rRNA 5S ribosomal RNA
GUCUACGGCCAUACCACCCUGAAUGCGCCAGAUCUCAUCUGAUCUCUGAAGCUAAGCAGGGUCGGGCCAGGUUAGUACUUGGAUGGGAGAAAAUGAGUCUUUCCUGAUU